AUUGCACGCUGGCGGCAGGCCUAACACAUGCAAGUCGAACGCGUGGCGGACGGGUGCGUAAUGUCUGGGAAACUGCCUGAUGGAGGGGGAUAACUACUGGAAACGGUAGCUAAUACCGCAUACCAUCGGAUGUGCCCAGAUGGGAUUAGCUAGUAGGUGGGGUAACGGCUCACCUAGGCGACGAUCCCUAGCUGGUCUGAGAGGAUGACCAUCCACACUGGAACUGAGACACGGGCCAGACUCCGACGGGAGGCAGCAGUGGGGAAUAUUGCACAAUGGGCGCAAGCCUGAUGAAGCCAUGCCGCGUGUAUGAAGAAGGCCUUCGGGUUGGAAAGUACUUUCAGCGGGGAGGCGUUACCCGCAGAAGAAGCACCGGCUAACUCCGUGCCAGCAGCCGCGGUAAUUC
rnacentral:rRNA from 1 species